GGGGAUGUAUUGGUCUCGACAGGGUAUGGUUGGGUAAGGAACGCAGUCGGUUGAUCGCGUCAUAGAUCAAAAACAAUUAUCUGGCAACAGAAAUCAAUUUGCUUUUGCUGCUUAAUUAAGCCAUAGUCCCGCUAUUAGGGAAGUAAAGCCAUCUAUCUGAGUUGGGUCUCUAAGCGAAGAAUAGGUGCAAUUUUGAGAGAAUAAGACUUAUCGAUAUCUAUAAGGUAGGUACGAAAAUUUAUAGGUUACUUAGGAGUUGAUUCGUUUGUUAGUCUUACUUCUAAGGAAAUUUAUUAGCAAACUAAACUGUAGUGGUCUUUACUGGACUUAUCUUGGACGCGGUUUCGAUUACCGCCAUCUCCACCA
rnacentral:tmRNA from 3 species